rnacentral:rRNA from 1 species
AGAGUUUGAUCCUGGCUCAGGAUGAACGCUAGCUACAGGCUUAACACAUGCAAGUCGAGGGGAAACGACAUCGAAAGCUUGCUUUUGAUGGGCGUCGACCGGCGCACGGGUGAGUAACGCGUAUCCAACCUGCCCACCACUUGGGGAUAACCUUGCGAAAGUAAGACUAAUACCCAAUGACGUCUCUAGAAGACAUCUGAAAGAGAUUAAAGAUUUAUCGGUGAUGGAUGGGGAUGCGUCUGAUUAGCUUGUUGGCGGGUAACGGCCACCAAGGCGACGAUCAGUAGGGGUUCUGAGAGGAAGGUCCCCCANAUUGGAACUGAGACACGGUCCAAACGUCCGUACGGGAGCA